GAUGAACGCUGGCGGCGUGCCUAAUACAUGCAAGUCGAGCGAACAGACGAGGAGCUUGCUCCUCUGACGUUAGCGGCGGACGGGUGAGUAACACGUGGAUAACCUACCUAUAAGACUGGGAUAACUUCGGGAAACCGGAGCUAAUACCGGAUAAUAUAUUGAACCGCAUGGUUCAAUAGUGAAAGACGGUUUUGCUGUCACUUAUAGAUGGAUCCGCGCCGCAUUAGCUAGUUGGUAAGGUAACGGCUUACCAAGGCAACGAUGCGUAGCCGACCUGAGAGGGGGAUCGGCCACACUGGAAAUAAGCCACGGGCCAGACUACUAGGGGCGGCAGAAGUAGGGAAUCGUCCGCAAUGGGCGAAAGCCUGAGGGAGCAACGCCGCGUGAGUGAAGAAGGUCUUAGGAUCGUAAAACUCUGUUAUUAGGGAAGAACAAAUGUGUAAGUAACUAUGCACGUCUUGACGGUACCUAAUCAGAAAGCCACGGCUAACUACG
rnacentral:rRNA from 1 species